GAUGAACGCUAGCGGCAGGCUUAACACAUGCAAGUCGAGGGGUAACAUUUUAGCUUGCUAAAGAUGACGACCGGCGAACGGGUGCGUAACGCGUAUAGAAUCUACCUCUUACUAAGGGAUAGCCCAGAGAAAUUUGGAUUAAUAUCUUAUAGUAUGUUAACUUGGCAUCAAGACAACAUUAAAGGUUACAGUAAGAGAUGACUAUGCGUCCUAUUAGCUAGAUGGUGUGGUAACGGCACACCAUGGCGACGAUAGGUAGGGGCCCUGAGAGGGGGAUCCCCCACACUGGUACUGAGACACGGACCAG
rnacentral:rRNA from 1 species